UUCAAUUUAUUUUAUGUAGAAUACGAAUUUUGUAAAUUUGGGGAUAAAGUUGGGU
rnacentral:tRNA from 1 species